rnacentral:rRNA from 1 species
CAGUCGCCGCGGUAAUACGUAGGUGGCAAGCGUUAUCCGGAAUUAUUGGGCGUAAAGGGCUCGCAGGCGGUUUCUUAAGUCUGAUGUGAAAGCCCCCGGCUCAACCGGGGAGGGUCAUUGGAAACUGGGAAACUUGAGUGCAGAAGAGGAGAGUGGAAUUCCACGUGUAGCGGUGAAAUGCGUAGAGAUGUGGAGGAACACCAGUGGCGAAGGCGACUCUCUGGUCUGUAACUGACGCUGAGGAGCGAAAGCGUGGGGAGCGAACAGGAUUAGAUACCCCCGUAGUCCCUGUCUCUUAUAU